rnacentral:lncRNA from 1 species
UCUUGAUAUGAUGUCAAAUCCAGGUAUGUGGGUCACUUAGCUUAUUUUUUUAUUUUUGUGAAGGUGGCUUCUUGUGUGGAUAGUUUUUCAAUUUAGUGCUCCUAUUGGAGAGGACAGUUGCUGGACUGUUCUAUUUGGCCAUUUUGCUCCACUUCCUUCUCCUCUUUUUCUUUCUUUCUUUUUAUUUUUAAUUUUACUUUAAGUUCUGGGAUAUAUAUGCAGCACAUGCAGGUUUGUUACAUAGGUAUACAUGUGCCAUGGUGGUUUGUUGCACCUAUCAAUUCGUCAUCUAGGUUUUAAGCCCCACAUGCAUUAGGUAUUUGUCCUAAUGCUCUCCCUCCCUUAACCCCCACCCCCCCAACAGGCCCAGGUGUGUGAUGUUCCCCUUCCUGUGUCCAUGUAUUGUCAUUGUUCAACUCCUACUUAUGAGUGAGAACAUGCAGUGUUUGGUUUUCUGUUCCUAUGUUAGUUUGCUGAGAAUGAUGGCUUACAGCUUUUUCCAUGUCCCUGCAAAAGACAUGAACUCAUUCUUUUUUAUGGCUGCAUAGUAUUCCAUGGUGUAUAUGCACCACAUGUUCUUUAUCCAGUCUAUUAUUGAUGGACAUUUGGGUUGUUCCAAGUCUUUGCUAUUAUAAAUAGUGCUGCAAUAAACAUACGUGUGCAUGUGUCUUUGUAGUAGAAUAUAUAUAUUUCUUUAAUUAUAACAUCAUUUGACCAUCAGCACCUGGAAUGUUGUCUUUCUCCCAUUCUUUACCUUGUUUGCUUUUAUAACCUAAAAAUUCUCUUUUUAAUUUUCUAUCACUUUAUUAUUUUGUAAUUAUUUCUGGAUAAUAUCCUCAAGCUUAUUUUGCAAUUAAUGAAAUACCUUCCUUUAUUUAGACUACUCUUUAACACAUCCGUUGAGUACAGUUAUUGCAAGAACUAUGCUUUUUAUUCCAAGGAUUUCUAUUUGGUUUUGUUAUAUAACUAACUAUCUGUUCAUAUUCAGUUCUGUUCUCAUCUCAUUCUUUAUCUUCCUUCAUCAUUUUCUUUUUUUGAGAUGGAGUUUCUCUCUUGUCCAGGCUGGAGUCCAAUGGCACAAUCUCGGCUCACAGCAACCACCCUCUCCCAGGUACCAGUGAUUCUCCUGCCUCAGCAUCCCAAGUAGCUGGGAUUAUAGGCAUGCGCUACCAUGCCUGGCUAAUUUUUGUAUUUUCAGUAGAGACAGGGUUUCACCAUGCUGGUCAGGCUGAUCUAGAACUCCUGACCUCAGGUGAUCUGCCCUUCUCAGCCUCCCAAGGUUCUGGGAUUAUAGGUGUGAGCCACCGUGUCCAGCCUCUUCAUCAAUUUUUAAUCUUAAUUGUAAUAUUUGUAAACACAUUUAGAUUAUUAUUUAUUGAUGUGGAAUAUAAAUUAUUCUUUAAUAUUCUGAAUUUCCCAACAUUGUUCAAUUUUUCACACUAUACAUUUUUUUAAAUUUGUGGUGUGCUUAUCUGGAGUGUGUGAUUAUGCAUUGGUGGGCGUAGGGGCUGCAGUAUUUUGAAGAAGUCCUAUAUGUAUGUGUUGUAAGUGGAUCUUAUUAAACACCACCAAGGCAAUACUUCUAAUAGUCUGCAAGCUUUACAGCAUUAUUGGGUUUGGGGUGCUCCCUAAUGCAGAUAUGGCUGCAGAGACCAAAUACUUAGAUCACAAUAUUCAAUUCCCUUUGAACGCUUGGAAAUCUUUCUCAAGAUAGACAAGUGCAAACAAGCCCAGUAUGCAAAGAUUACAAUAAAUAACCUAACUCUUCAAUGCCCAACAUCAAAAAACCAUCCACAAGCAUUAAUACUAUACAUAAGAAUAUGACCUCACCAAAUGUACUAAAUAAGGAACCAGUGACUAAUCCCAGAGUGACAGAUAUGUGAGCUUUCAGACAGAGAAUUCAAAACAGCUGUUUUGAGGAGGUUCAGACAAAUUCAAGAUAACAUAGAGAAGGAAUUUAGAAUCCUAUCAGAUUCUUACAAUGGGUUAUAAGAUAUUAUUUAUGAUAACCACAUGUAGCCUCAUGGUAACCACAAAUCAAAAUGCCUGCAACAGAUACACAAAAAAU